rnacentral:misc_RNA from 1 species
CUCAUUGCCAAAAUCAAAUCCAACCACACUCAUUUUAUAUAAAAUUUACCGAUUUAUGGGAUAAAUUGGUGUAGUCGUUACAAAGUUAUAUUGUAACCUGCAUGAAACAAUUUAUAAAUCAAAUGCACUACACAGUAUAUAAACCAAUAAGAGAAAACAUGUUCACCAUAAAUUAGCAUUUACUGCAUUGAUCAACUUAAUCCAUCCACAUGAGUAAUCAUACAACCAAAUGGAAAAUGAUAUAAAAUCACUCUGAAUCUUAGAAUAAUACCCACCGAGUGCGCAAUCAAGCUUUCAAGACUCAUUAAUAUUUUUGCAGUUGAUCAGAAUCACUGAGUUUCAGGGAGAACAAUAAAACCAUCCACAGAUCAUUACAUGCAAUGUUCAUAGAUCCAUGGGAAGGGAAGAAUCUAUCACAGUACACAAAUACUAACCCAUGCACCUAAAUUGAAUGUAAACCAAAUUUACUCCAAAAUAAUUGAAGCAACUAAAAGAAUGUAAUCAUCACAAAUUAUAAUUCAGUGUGUGCUUCAAUAAAACUACUCCAUAUGAAAUCCACAAAGACAUCCAACAAACAAAGGUGAGAUUAUGAUACUUUAGCAGCUUUCCUUAUUUUGAAUGCAAUAAAAUUGUCAGUAACUGUGCUUUAAAUUUAAAGCUAAUACGGCUUUUGUUAGAGCAAGAAGAGCAUCGAACUAUCCAGAAAAAAAAUAGCACAACCUAAACAAUUAACAUACGCAGAGAAGUUUUUAAAAAAAAAAAUGAAAAACUAUCAAUAAUGUGCAUAAAUCACUACCUGCAACGUGCAUAAAUAGAUUAUCAAUGAAAACCCAAUAGAGAGUGGAAAACCAGAAACUAAAAUGCACAUGCAAAUGCCAAUCUAAAACUUAACCUAAUUAAUAUGCAAAAAUUGACAAAGGAUUUCCAAUUAAUAUAAUAUAAACGAUAGAUUAAAAAAGGGGAAGGAAAAAAAAAAGCACAAUCAGUACUAAAAACAAGCCAAUCAAUAAAUUUUAAAACCAAAAAACCUCAAAUCCACAAGAAGCUCAAAAUGAUCAUCAAAUCUAAGCAGCGAAUUACCCACAAAAAAAAAAGUUCAAAAACAACUGUCAACUGCACCUGAAAAGCUGAAUCUAUCUAGAAAUACAAUAAACGAUCAGAAAUAAAAAAAUCGCCAUUAAAAAGCUAAAUCUCAAAAGAAAAAAACCACAGAUCUACAACUUAGGGGGAAGGAUAUAUUGACUGAGGUGAGGAAGAGCUGUUUUGUACCUGGAAUCAAAGGAACAGAGAAGAAAAGGAUAUGUCCUUGCGGUUCUAGAAAUCCCCUUCGUUGCGAAACCAACGUUGGAGACGGUAUACUAGAACCUUUUAUUGUGGG